UUAAGCAUAUAAGUAAGCGGAGGAUAAGAAACUAAAUAGGAUUCCCUCAGUAAUGGCGAAUGAACAGGGAUAAGCUCAGCAUGGAAAUUAGGGCCUAUGGCCUUGAAUUGUAGUCUCUGGACGUACCGCCAACGGGGGCGCAGAUGCACGCCUCUUGGAAGAGAGCAUCAACGAGGGUGAGAGUCCCGUCCAUCAUCUGCAGUCCUCCGUACACAGCGUGCUGUCCACGAGUCGCGCUCCUCGGAAUUGGAGUGCAAAGUUGGUGGUAAAUUUCAUCUAAAGCUAAACAUUGGUUCAAGACCGAUAGCAAACAAGUACCAUGAGGGAAAGGUGAAAAGGACUUUGAAAAGAGAGUUAAAAGUGCCUGAAAUUGCUGAAAGGGAAGCGAAUGGAACCAGUGCUGCUUGGCGAGAUUGUUGCGCGGUCACGCGAUUGCUCGCUGUUGCAACGCAAGUGCGGUAGUGAGUCUUGGCCGGGACGCGUGCAGUGGUUCUUGCCUUGUGUGUCAAUACCGGUUCGCGCUUGAGGAAAACUCCUGGGGCAUGGUAGAUUGGCUACGGCUGGUUGAAUUUGCCUGGUGGGACUCCUGCGUGAACUGCUCCACGCGUGUCUGGUUGCAGCACCUCGCUUUGACGGCUGCCCCUGGGGCUGAACCUGCCCUGGGGGGCCCGUCGACGGGGUGUCUCCUUGACACGUUGAUCAUGACUAAACGGUUCCCUUCGACCCGUCUUGAAACACGGACCAAGGAGUCUAACAUAUGUGCGAGUUCACGGGUGGGUAAACCUGCUUGCGUAAUGAAAGUGACUGCUGGGAUCUCCGCGCCAGCAACCGACCGAUCAAUUGAGAGAGGUUUGAGUAUGAGCAUAUCUGUUAGGACCCGAAAGAUGGUGAACUAUGCCUGUGAAGGGCAAACUCAGGGGAAACUCUGAUGGAGGCUCGUAGCGAUACUGACGUGCAAAUCGUUCGUCAUACAUGGGUAUAGG
rnacentral:rRNA from 1 species